AAGAAACCUUAAAAAAAUUACAAAAGAAACAAUAAGAAAUCUUAAAGAAUUUUUAAAAAUAUCCACAAUAAACCUUGAAAGAAUCCUUAAGAAAUCCUAAAGAAAUAUUAGAAUAAUUAUAAAUAUAUCUUAAAUAAAUCUUAACCAAGUUCUAAAUCAAUUCUAGUUGAAACUCUAAUAGAUUUUAAUCAAAUCCUAAGCCAAAUCUUAAAUUCUAAGCCAAUCUUAAAUCCUAAAUUCUAAGCAAACCUUAAACUCUAAAUCCUAAACCAAAUCCUAAAUCCUAAUUUAAUCUUGAAUCCUAAACAAAUCUUAAUCAAAUCUUAAUCUAAUCUUAAUCUUGAAUCAUAUCCUAAUUUCUAAUUUAAUCUUAAAUUCUAAUCAAAUCCUAAUCAAACUCUAAUCAAAUCCUAAAUCUUAAUUCAAUCCUAAUUCUAAACCAAAUUCUAAACCAAAUUCUAAUUAAAAUCUAACUAAUUCAACUUAAUCUUAGCACAAUUUAGAACAUCAAUAUCUAUUGAUUAAAUUGUUCAUCUUACUUAUAAUUUUACAUAAUUUUCAACAACUAAGUUGGAAACAAGUAUACAAAGUUUGAAGAAAAUCAAACUUACCAAAUAGAAGAAAGAAAUCAAAAUCCACUUGGAUAUCAGCUAGCCUCU
rnacentral:lncRNA from 1 species